rnacentral:rRNA from 1 species
GACGUAGGGCGCGAGCGUUGUCCGGAUUUAUUGGGCGUAAAGAGCUCGUAGGCGCCUGUCGCGUCGACCGUGAAAACUUGGGGCUCAACCCCAAGCCUGCGGUCGAUACGGGCAGGCUCGAGUUCGGUAGGGGAGACUGGAAUUCCUGGUGUAGCGGUGAAAUGCGCAGAUAUCGGGAAGAACACCCGUGGCGAAGGCGGUUCUCUGGGACGGUACUGACGCUGAGACGCGAAAGCGUGGGGAGCGAACAGG